AUUGAACGCUGGCGGCAGGCCUAACACAUGCAAGUCGAACGAGUGGCGGACGGGUGAGUAAUGUCUGGGAAACUGCCUGAUGGAGGGGGAUAACUACUGGAAACGGUAGAUAAUACCGCAUACCAUCGGAUGUGCCCAGAUGGGAUUAGCUAGUAGGUGGGGUAAAGGCUCACCUCGGCGACGAUCCCUAGCUGGUCUGAGAGGAUGACCAGCCACACUGGAACUGAGACACGGUCCAGACUCCUACGGGAGUAAGCAUUGGGGAAUAGUGCAAAGUGGGCGCAAGCCGGAUGCAGCCAUGCCGCGUGUAUGAAGAAGGCCUUCGUGUUGUAAAGUACUUUCAGCGGGGAGGCGUUACCCGCAGAAGAAGCACCGGCUAACUCCGUGCCAGCAGCCGCGGUAAUAC
rnacentral:rRNA from 1 species